CCUACGGGAGGCAGCAGUGGGGAAUAUUGGGCAAUGGAGGCAACUCUGACCCAGCAACGCCGCGUGAAUGAUGAAGGUCUUCGGAUUGUAAAGUUCUGUGAUGGGGGAUGAACACAAUGACGGUACCCCAAUAGCAAGCCACGGCUAACUACGUGCCAGCAGCCGCGGUAAUACGUAGGUGGCAAGCGUUAUCCGGAAUGACUGGGCGUAAAGGGUGCGUAGGUGGUUUAGUAAGUUGGCAGUGUAAUUCCGGGGCUCAACCUCGGCGCUACCGCCAAAACUAUUAGACUAGAGUGCAGGGGGGGUAAGUGGAAUUCCUAGUGUAGCGGUGGAAUGCGUAGAUAUUAGGAGGAACAUCAGGGGCGAAGGCGACUUACCGGACUGUAACUGACACUGAGGCACGAAAGCGUGGGGAGCAAACAGGAUUAGAUACCCCAGUAGUC
rnacentral:rRNA from 1 species